rnacentral:Y_RNA from 1 species
GCCUUGUCUGAAGGUAGUUAUCUCAAUUGAUUGUUCAGUCAGUUACAGAUGGAACUCCUUGUUCUACUUUUCCCCCCUUCUCAUUACUGCACUUGACUAGUCUAAA